GCACAAAUUACUGAAAAAAAUAACUUGACAAUAUGUAAUAAAACACGAUAAAUACCUUUUGUUUCAAUGCAGGCAGUUGGAAAGCCUGUUCCGAUGACGUCACGUAAAUAAAGGGGCGGAGCCUGCAGAUUAGAAGUCUCAAGCUGUGGUAAUCGUCUAACCUAGGCGCUCGUCCACACUCCCACAGUGCUUUAAAUCGUCUUAUUGUGACUCUGAAUGGUUUUUUUCAGUGUGGGAACCUUUGGCCGAGCACAAGCGAAAGUUUUCCUGCCGGUAGCGGUAAGUGGGCGGGCUACGAAAGCGGAAGAAUUGUAGUUGGUGUGGCUAAGGUAGUUAGCUCCAGCCACUAGCAGCAGCAGCAGCAGCUCACUGUGCUAACAUGCCGGGAGCUGCCUGACACUUCACCGUCAGCUGUGAGCGGAACAGCUCAGGGAUAGCAGAGCGUUGUUGUCUGAGGCUACACCAGCUGGAGCUGCUUGUCCACACACACAGCCUGUGUUUCUACACCAGUGAGCUGUAAAACACUGCUGAGCGUCUCAUCGAGGGAGUGUCAACUUCUUCUUUUUUUUGCCAAAAAAAAAAAAAAAAAAAAAAACCAUCCGUGAAUCGUGCAGACAUGCUGACAGACAGCAGUCUUCCAGCAGUGACAGCAGUAAUGGGAUCAGCAGUCCAGAGGCAACAAUGGUGGCCAGCACCAGGCCGUGCAUACACAGUCAGAGCAACUGCAUCACCCAACACUCCCUUAGCCCAAAGCCUGAGGAAUCUGCCAGCUCCUUGCAGCACGGUUUCCAGGGUGACGGGAGGGGGAGUGUCUCCUACGACCACAUCAACAGAAUCCUGCGGGAGGCGCACUUCAGCAGCCUGCAAACCAAAGGGCGUCCAGGCACAACAUGACCGUGAACUUUGACCCUCUGCUGACCAUCUUUAGGCUCUCACACAUCAGCACCGGCUCUGCCAGCGUGGACACCUCAAUCUACACCCCGGGGGUCAGGGUUGAGGGGACGGCAAGUGUGGUGGUUUAUAUGAUUCGGCCAUGACGGCUCAUCCCCACCUCCACAUGUUCCAUUCGUCCUCAAACAUAAAGCACAUCUGCCUUCUCAUGGCCCAGUCACUGUGGUUCCCUGUGCAGUAUUGAUGUGUAUUUGUACAUGUGCGUGUGUGUGCACGCACCCACCCACUGCACUUUAUGACUCUCUUUACAUGCGUGUGUUUGAUGUGUGGACAUUUCCAUUGGUGCUAAUUACAAAAGAAGUGAUAAUGACCCAAGGUGCGUGCAUAUCAAAAAUAAAGCAAAGCAC
rnacentral:lncRNA from 1 species